UUUUCACUUCUUUAACUUGCAAUCAUCGUUAAUAGAGAUAUGUUAGUUUGGUUAAUGAUAUGUUUAGCUGAAGUACAAAGGUUAAAUACUUUGGCGUGUUCUGGAAAAUUCCAUUCCUCAACCGAAGCAUUCAGUUAAAGCAGAUUGAUGGAAGUUUUUGACAGCGUUCUGUUUUCUCCUGAUUUCUUUGUAAUUAUGGAGUGAAAAACUGUGAAAAAAUAGUGUAAAAGUAAUGAAAAUCCUUCAUGAGUGAUUAUUUAAGAGUUUUCAAGUGCUAUUGUAAUGAAAUUAGCAAGUUUUAGCACUAAAAUUGAGAUAUUGCGUUGUGAGUGAAAAAAACGAAGCCAUUUUGUUUUCCUUUGUGAGUACGUUGACUGAAAUGAUUGGUUAAAUCCGAAUGGGUGAGUGGUGCAAAUAUAUUAUAUAUAUAUUCGUUUUUCUACAAAUCAAACAAGUUUUGACAUGUCAUUCAGUCACUGAGCAUUUCUUUUAUUUGAAUUAAUUAAUUCUUUUAUAAUAUUAUAUAAAUGAAAAACUUUUCCUUUUCUGAUCAAUUAUAUUUUCUUUUUUGACUAUUUGAUUCGGCUUUUUUAUCUUUUAACCAAACAACUUUUGUUAUUUUAACCAAAUAACUUCAGUUACUUGGGCUACCUUAUUAACUUUGACUGGAAAAUUUUUGUGUUUUUUACAAUUUCAAAUUGCUUUUUUAAUAAUUUUAUUCAGCUUUAUUGUCUUUUAUCCAAACAACUUUUGUUAUUUUAACCAAAUAACUUCAGUUACUUGGGCUACCUUAUUAACUUUGACUGGAAAAUUUUUGUGUUUUUGACAAUUUCAAAUUGCUUUUUUAAUAAUUUUAUUCAGCUUUAUUGUCUUUUAACCAAACAACUUUUGUUAUUUUAACCAAAUAACUUCAGUUACUUGGGCUACCUUAUUAACUUUGACUGGAAAAUUUCUGUGUUUUUGACAAUUUCAAAUUGCUUUUUUAAUAAUUUUAUUCAGCUUUAUUAUCUUUUAAUCAAAGGACUUUUGUUCUUUUGACCAAAUAAUUUCUGUUACUUGAGUUGCUUCAUGAAUUUUGACCGCAGAAUUUCUAUAUUUUCGCUGUGUUUCUUUCAGACACAGCUUUUUGUGUACCGAGCAAAAUCGAAAGUCGUCAGAUCGGGCUCAAACUUGGGAUGAGCACAAAUUAGGGUCCCCACAUUCCAAAAAACGUAUGCGCCAAAAAAAUUUUUUUCCGGCCGGCCGGCCGUCUGCAGUAUAACACUAAAUUGCGAGGGAACUGUGAUAGAUAGAGACUUGCGGCUAAACCUAUAAACCAAUACCUAUAAACCGGUUUUGCCUAUAUCUCAGAUAUCUAAAAAUCUGAAAUUUUGAUAUGUUGUAGGGGACAUCAAGCUCUCAACAUACCCUACAACUCUCUAGAACAUCCGAAGUUUCAAAAGUGACCGCUAGAGGGCCAAAAAACGAAAACAAAAUUUUCGAUGAGUUUUCGAUGAAUAUCUCGAAAACGGCGACAUAUUGUUACGAUUUUUGGGAGAAAUAAAAUUACCGGAAAUAAACAAACGGUUAUUAUGAAUUCAAAUGAAACGAAACACGGCGAAAUGCCGAAAGAGAUUAAGAUGAAGAAGAAGAUAGGACCCAUCAAAAAUAUGUUUCGAGGUCGGUCGGCAGCUAAAAUUUUGUCCGCAGUUUAUUUUUUCAUUCGGGUGGAUUUAUCUCGCUUUGGGAGCGUUCGGCGUGGGUGCAGAAAAUUUCCGCGGUUUUCUUCAAAAAUUCGUCAAUUUGAGACUUUGUGGUUUGAGAGUGCAAAAAUGAUGGAAAAUUCACGCAGAAGAGAUGCGGUAAGUAAUUUUACAAUUUUCUUAAUUAAUUUGGGUAAUUUUAUCUUUUUGAUCCUACUAGAUUUCACAAAUAUCUUUUGUGGAAUGUUUUAGUAGCAUCAGAUUGAUGAAAUUGAUAGAAAACAAUGAGAAAAAAAUUAAUUAUUUUGAUCUAAAAAUUCUUCAUUGCAAAAAAAGAGCCCGAAAUUGAUUUUUCUUUUUUUUUUUAAAUUAAUUUUCUCAAGAUAUAAAAACAAAAACUUUUGUAAACAAGAAAAAAAAAGAACAAUUUAUCAAUUUUUACUAUAGGUAUUUCAGAUCGUUUUUGGAACACAAUCAGUGCCCAGGAUGACCAGCCCGGAAGCCUUACCCGGAUGCCCUAUUCAGGAAGCCCUGCCUGGACCCCUACCCGCAUGGCCUGCCUGAAUGCUCUACCCGGAUGCCCUGCCCGCUUUUGCUUUAAUUUUUGACAACAUUCCAAAAUGCGGAAAUAUCCGUUUGAAGCACAAAACUGUCCGUGCCUGGCUUCAGUCCUCAAUUUCUGGGAUCCGGUCUUACACAACUUUAUGCAACAUAAUUUUCCGGAAAUGGAAGUCCCGGAAGUCACAAAGGUGAAGAGGAGAGAUCAUCUGAAAAGCCGCCCAGCAUCGAAGGAGACAGCAGGAGAAGGAAAAGGCAACGCCGGAUAUAUUUUUUCAAUAUUUUUUUGUAAAUUUUAAAAAUAUUAAA